UCUGUUCUUAGAGACAUUGCAGGCAGCAGUACCACAUGUGAACCAAUAUGUCACAGUGAGGAGAGAAGCUAUGUCUAUGCUCAGUGUUAUGACCCAUGACUAUUUGAAUGAUAAGUAGCCUAAGCAAG